UUUCCGUAGGUGAACCUGCGGAAGGAUCAUUAACGAGUAAGGGUCAUUCUGGCCCGACCUCCAACCCUUUGUUAAAUUACUAUGUUGCUUUGGCGGGCCCGUUUCACGACCGCCGGAAGGCCUCGGACUUCUCGCCCGAGCCCGCCAAUAGCCUUCUACAAACUCUUGAUCAAUUGUGAUGUCUGAGUACUAUAUAAUAGUUAAAACUUUCAACAACGGAUCUCUUGGUUCUG
rnacentral:misc_RNA from 1 species